UGAGGAAUAUUGGGCAAUGGGCGGAAGCCUGACCCAGCAACGCCGCGUGAAGGAUGAAGGCCUUCGGGUUGUAAACUUCUUUUAUGGGGGAAGAGAGAGGACGGUACCCCAGGAAUAAGUCACGGCUAACUACGUGCCAGCAGCCGCGGUAAUACGUAGGUGACAAGCGUUAUCCGGAAUUACUGGGCGUAAGGCGCACGCAGGCGGCUGCUUAAGUCUGACGUGAAAUCUCCUGGCUUAACUGGGAGGGGUCGUUGGAAACUGAGUAGCUUGAGGCAGUGAGAGGGGUGUAGAAUUCCCGGUGUAGUGGUGGAAUGCGUAGAUAUCGGGAGGAAUACCAGAGGCGAAGGCGACACCCUGGCACUGGCCUGACGCUCAUGUGCGAAAGCGUGGGGAGCGAACG
rnacentral:rRNA from 1 species